UACAAGGGUUUCUAGUGGAUGCCUUGGCGCACAGAGGCGAUGAAAGACGUGGUACGCUGCGAUAAGUCCGGGUGAGGUGCGAACAACCUUUGACCCCGGAAUCUCUGAAUGGGGAAACCCAACUCUACAGAUUCUGAUGUUUAUCUGAUUAUCCGGCUUGCCGGGUGUCAGGUUUGCAUCGGACAUUUGUCGAGUUAUCUUAGUCUGAAUACAUAGGACUAAAGAAGCAAACCCGGGGAACUGAAACAUCUCAGUACCCGGAGGAAAGGACAUCAACCGAGACUCCGUUAGUAGUGGCGAGCGAACGCGGAUCAGGCCAGUGGCUAUAAUAAUCUAAACCGAAUGUGUUGGGAAGCACGACCAAAGUGGGUGACAGUCCCGUAGGUGUAAUGAGUAUUAUGGUCCAUGAGUAGGGCGGGACACGUGAAAUCCUGUCUGAAUAUGGGGGGACCACCCUCCAAGCCUAAGUACUCCUGUGCGACCGAUAGUGAACUAGUACCGUGAGGGAAAGGUGAAAAGUCCCCCGACGAGGGGUGUGAAACAGUCCCUGAAACUGGAAAUCUACAAGCUGUCGAAGCCUUCUUGUCCUUCGGGACAUGCAGGGCGACGGCGUACCUUUUGUAUAAUGGGUCAGCGACUUGGUCUUACAAGCAAGCUUAAACCGUUAGGUGUAGGCGUAGCGAAAGCGAGUGUUAAUAGCGCGAUUGAGUUUGUAGGAUCAGACCCGAAACCAAGUGAUCUAGCCAUGUGCAGGUUGAAGGUGAGGUAACACUCACUGGAGGACCGAACCCACUUAUGUUGAAAAAUGACGGGAUGACAUGUGGCUAGGGGUGAAAGGCCAAUCAAACUUGGAGAUAGCUGGUUCUCCGCGAAAUCUAUUUAGGUAGAGCGUCUGAUGAAUACCCUAGGGGGUAGAGCACUGGAUGGGCUAGGGGGUCUCACCGACUUACCAAACCUAACCAAACUCCGAAUACCUAGGAGUAAUAUCAGGCAGACACACUACGGGUGCUAAGGUCCGUAGUGGAAAGGGAAACAGCCCUGACCGUCGUCUAAGGUCCCUAAAUAAUCACUAAGUGGUAAAGAAUGUGAGAGUGCUUAGACAACCAGGAUGUUGGCUUAGAAGCAGCCAUCAUUUAAAGAUAGCGUAACAGCUCACUGGUCAAGCGCUCCUGCGUCGAAAAUGUACCGGGGCUAAAGUGAUUUACCGAAGACACGGACGCACAUUUAUGUGCGUGGUAGCGGAGCGUUCCGUAAGCCUGUGAAGGGGUCCUGUGAGGGGUCCUGGAGGUAUCGGAAGUGAGAAUGCUGACAUGAGUAACGAUAAAAGGGGUGAGAGACCCCUUCGCCGAAAGAUCAAGGUUUCCUGCGCAAUGCUAAUCAGCGCAGGGUUAGCCGGCCCCUAAGACGAGGCAGAAAUGCGUAGUCGAUGGGAACCAGUUUAAUAUUACUGGGCCAUUGGGUGGUGACGGAUUGCGUGUAUUGUACAUCCUUAUUGGAUUGGGUGUGCAGUGAAGCAGUUCCUGGAAAUAGCCCCCAUAUAUGACCGUACCCUAAACCGACACAGGUGAUCAGGUAGAGAAUACCAAGGCGCUUGAGAGAACUAUGCUGAAGGAACUCGGCAAAUUACCUCCGUAACUUCGGGAGAAGGAGGCCUGGCUGGUACGCAAGUACUUGUCAGGGGCACAGACCAGGGGGUGGCGACUGUUUAUUAAAAACAUAGGGCUCUGCGAAGUUGCAAAACGACGUAUAGGGUCUGACGCCUGCCCGGUGCUGGAAGGUUAAAAGGAGGGGUGCAAGCUCCGAAUUGAAGCCCCAGUAAACGGCGGCCGUAACUAUAACGGUCCUAAGGUAGCGAAAUUCCUUGUCGGGUAAGUUCCGACCUGCACGAAUGGCGUAACGACUUCCCCACUGUCUCCAGCAUAGACUCAGUGAAAUUGAAUUCCUCGUGAAGAUGCGAGGUACCCGCGGCUAGACGGAAAGACCCCAUGAACCUUUACUACAGCUUGACAGUGCCAUUUGUAACAAUUUGUGUAGGAUAGGCGGGAGACUAUGAAGCGUGGGCGCUAGCUCAUGUGGAGUCGUCCUUGAAAUACCGCCCUUGUUUUUAUGAAUGUCUAACCGCGGUCCGUUAUCCGGAUCCGGGACAUUGUCUGGUGGGUAGUUUGACUGGGGCGGUCGCCUCCUAAAGAGUAACGGAGGCGCGCGAUGGUUGGCUCAGACCGGUCGGAAAUCGGUCGUUGAGUGCAAUGGCAUAAGCCAGCCUGACUGCGAGAGUGACAACUCGAGCAGAGACGAAAGUCGGUCAUAGUGAUCCGGUGGUCCCGCGUGGAAGGGCCAUCGCUCAACGGAUAAAAGGUACUCUGGGGAUAACAGGCUGAUGACGCCCAAGAGUCCAUAUCGACGGCGUUGUUUGGCACCUCGAUGUCGGCUCAUCGCAUCCUGGGGCUGGAGAAGGUCCCAAGGGUAUGGCUGUUCGCCAUUUAAAGCGGUACGUGAGCUGGGUUUAGAACGUCGUGAGACAGUUCGGUCCCUAUCUACCGUGGGAGUAGGAGUUUUGAGAGGAUCUGCCCUUAGUACGAGAGGACCGGGGUGGACAUUCCUCUGGUGGAGCUGUUGUCGCGCCAGCGGCAUUGCAGCGUAGCUAUGAAUGGAACGGAUAACCGCUGAAAGCAUCUAAGCGGGAAACCACCCUCAAUACGAGAGCUCCCUUGAGAGUCGUUCAAGACUAGGACGUUGAUAGGCUGGGUGUGGAAGCGUGGUAACACGUGAAGCUUACCAGUACUAAUAACUCGAUUGGCUUGAUU
rnacentral:rRNA from 1 species